rnacentral:rRNA from 1 species
UCGAACGGCAGCACGGGUGAUUGCACCUGGGGUGCGAGUGGCGAACGGAAUCAGUAAUACAUCGACAACAUGUCCCGUAGUGAACUGAUAGCCCGGCCAAAGCCGGAUUAAUACCACAAACAAUCCACGGAUGAAAGCGAGGGACCUUCGGACCUCGCGCUAUAGGGUUGGCCGAUCGAUGAUUAGCUCGAUGCGUGGGGUAAAGGCCUACCAAGGCCACCAUCAGUAGCUGGUCUGAGAGGACCACCAGCCACACUGAGACUGAGACACGGACCAUACUCCUACGGGAGGCAGCAUGGGGGAAUUUUGGACAAUGGGCGAAAGCCUGAUCCAGCAAUGCCACGUGUGUCAAGAAAGCCUUCGGGUUGUAAAGCACUUUUGUCCGGACAGAAAUCCUUGGCUCUAAUACACUCGGGGGAUGACGGUACCGGAAGAAUAAGCACCGGCAAACUACGUGCCACCAACCGCGGCAAUACGAACGGUGCAAGCGUUAAUCGCAAUUACUGGGCGUAAAGCGGGCGCAGGCAGUUUGCUAAGACCGAUGUGAAAUCCCCAGGCUCAACCUGAGAACUGCAUUGGUGACUGGCAAGCUAGAGAAUGGCACAGGGGGGUAGAAUUCCACGCGUAGCAAUGAAAUGCGCAGAGAUGUGAAGGAAUACCGAUCGCAAAGGCUUCCCCCUGGGCCAAUACUGACGCUCAUGCACGAAAGCGUGGCGAGCAGACAGGAUUAUAUACCCUGGUACACCUCGCCCUAAACAAUUUCCACUAGGUGAUGGGGGAUUCAUUUACUUAAAAUCGUAGCUAACGCCGGGAAGUUCACCGCCUGGGGGAGAACCGGUCGCAUGAUUAAAACUCAAAGGAAUUGACCGUGACCCGCCCUAGACGGUCGGAUGAUCGGGGAUUAAAUUCGAUGCUACCCCGUAAAAACUUACCUAACCCUUGGACUUGGUCGGAAUUCCUGCUUAAAAGGGGGGAAGGAUUCUAAAGAAAAACCGCCCCCACAGGGGCUGAACUGGCU